GACGAACGCUGGCGGCGUGCUUAAUACAUGCAAGUCGAACGGUCAGGCGUGGUGGUUGUGGGUCUGUCGAGAAGCGAACGCGGGAGGAACACGUGAGUAACCUGCCCUUGACUUCGGGAGAACGUCAGGAAACUGGGGGGCAUACCGGAAAGGAGCACCGGCUGCAUAGGGGGGGUGGGAAAGUGUCGCCGGUUGGGGAUGGGAAUUCGGAGUAGCAGCUUGUUGGUGGGGUAGUGGCUUACAAGGGCUUUGAGGGGUAGCCGGCCUGAGAGGGUGACAGGCCACAUUGUGAUUGAGCUACCGCCCGGACUCCUACGGUGGGCAGCAGUGAGGGUUUUUGCACACUGCGCCGAAGCCGCAUGCAGUGACGCCGUGUCCGGAAUCACGGGCUUCGGGUUGUAAACCGCUUUCGCCUGUGACGAUGCGUGAGUGACGGUAAUUGGUAAAUAAGCACCGGCUAACUACGUG
rnacentral:rRNA from 1 species